GCAUCGACUAUGCAAUUUUUCUGGAUUACACACCUUGUCAAAACCUAUGUAGACUCACCAAACAUGAAUUCCAGUACCCUAAAUCGAGAGAUUACAUGAAUAAUUAGCUAAGAUUCAAUCAUCUCAAAUUGAUCAAUUAAAAAAAAUUCAAAAAAAACUGAUUGUCUCGACAACCCACAACCCCAAAACAACAUUAAACCCUUACAUUAAAGCGAAAACAACACCCUUACAAGCCUCAAUUUGCUGGUGGAUCACCCAUUCCAUGACCUUCACCUAGGGAACCCCACACGAUUAACAAAAAAAAGCUGAAGCAUGCAAACCAAGCAAAGCUCCAACUUAGCUAGAGGUAACAACAAAAAAAUUCAGUCAAAGAAAAAAUGAAAUUGGCGGCACUUACACAAGUCUCGAGCUACAAACAAUUCAACUAAACGCGUAUUACAGAAAUUUGAUAACCCAGGAGACCAAAAUCAAGAAACCAACGAAGUUUUAAGAAGAGCACUAAAGGAUAAAAGAAAGAAAAAAGGAGAAAAAAAACAAAGAAAAAUCAAUUUGAAAAGAAGAACAAGGAAGAAAGAAAGGCGG
rnacentral:lncRNA from 1 species